CAAGAGUUGGCUCUAUGUUCAAGGCAGUGGACUUGGAAUUGGGAGUCCCCCUUCUACUGCAGGCCAGCUUUAUUGUUCUUCAAGGUGAUUCAUAGCGUCAGUACUUAAAGAGAAAUAUGAGCUCAAGGCUACCCACUUAAAAGCCUGAGAAACUAACUUCAGGGAGAGAUCUCUGAGCAACCCAUUUAAAGCAGAUAUUCUGUUGCAUCUGGGAUUAAGUGCUGGGACCCUCGACUGUCACCAGGACCCUGGACCAUGGUAACAUCACCAACGUACGACUGAGAAAUUAAGCAAGUUAUUUAUAGAUCCAAGAAACUGAAAUUUUCGGCUUGAGGGUAAUUCAGAUACUUCAAAGACA